UGGGCAGGGACCUGGGCGGGCACCUGUGCGGGGACCUGGGCAGGGACCUGUGCCAGCCCCUCUCCUCGGGCACUGCCCGAAUCCCAGGAAAAACGCCCCCAAACGCCAGCACCCACGGCGCCCGCUCUGCCCUCUCCCCCCCGAAAAACCGAGCACCGGGCCCCGGAGGGUGUUUUAAAGACAAGUGUUCGUGAAGAGCAAGGUCAGUCCCGGGACUGAGAACUUUACUCGGGUGCGACGGUGGAUUUAAUUCCAGCAGUCAGCCCCGCGGCCGGGACAGAGGGAUAACCGGGGAUGUACCACCGUAAAACAACCCCGAGGCUUCCCUGGAAGAUCCUGACAGUUUCGGGAAGGCUCUGUUACUUUCCAGUCAUUUCCAGGGUAAAUUUAUCCACCACUGAGGGAGAAGCCCAGCGGCUCCUGCCCCCGUGGAAAGGGUGCCGAGAGGAAGAGCUGCAGCCCGAGGCCGGCUGAACACCCGGGGUUAAAACCAGAGUAUGUUUGCUCAGCAGAUACCCGAAGGAGUGACCCCGAGGUUUGCUCUCCCGUUUUGCUCUGUCGGCCCCUUUGCGUUUACAGGUGGGCUUUGUGCGUUUGUUCCUCAAAAGUAGCUAUUAUUGCUGUUAAUGAUUGUAAAGAUGUAAAAAAGGACGUUAGAAAAAAGUGAAUUCGCAGCCUUCGAGCAGAGAGCACCCCUCGCUCUCCUGGCAGAUGAAAUAAGGGUGUCGACUGGGGUUAG